rnacentral:misc_RNA from 1 species
AUGAUUGGCAAUCUUAUAUCGAGGUGUGUUUCUUUCUGAAAAAUCAAAAUCAAUAUCUAGAACAAUUAUUCCAGUUACCAACUCCAAUCCCUCCCCCUGCCUCUGCGGGUAUGGUAUGGCUGGCUUUCUAUGUCAUUUGACCAUUAAGAAACACAAUCAAGUUAUGUUUUUUUUACCCUUUUCUGAAGUGAUCGGUACUAUUUUUUUAAACAGACUAAAACAGAUCUGUAACAAUUCUUUAUUCAAAUAUAACGCUCCCUUUUUUUUCAGCUUUUUCUUAUGAUGAAACUUUUCUGCAGGAACAUCCAUAUGCAAUCAAGU